rnacentral:tRNA from 1 species
GGGCCUGUAGCUCAGCUGGAUAGAGUCACGGUUUCCUAAACCGUUGGUCGGGGGUUCGAAUCCCUCCAGGCCUACCA